rnacentral:rRNA from 1 species
GCGACCCUAGGUCAGGUGGGAGCACCCCGCCGAGUUUAAGCAUAUCAAUAAGCGGAGGAAGAGGAA